rnacentral:rRNA from 1 species
AUUGAACGCUGGCGGCAUGCCUAACACAUGCAAGUCGAGCGGAUGAAGGGAGCUUGCUCCUGGAUUCAGCGGCGGACGGGUGAGUAAUGCCUAGGAAUCUGCCUGGUAGUGGGGGAUAACGUCCGGAAACGGGCGCUAAUACCGCAUACGUCCUGAGGGAGAAAGUGGGGGGUCUUCGGACCUCACGCUAUCAGAUGAGCCUAGGUCGGAUUAGCUAGUUGGUGGGGUAAAGGCCUACCAAGGCGACGAUCCGUAACUGGUCUGAGAGGAUGAUCAGUCACACUGGAACUGAGACACGGUCCAGACUCCUACGGGAGGCAGCAGUGGGGAAUAUUGGACAAUGGGCGAAAGCCUGAUCCAGCAAUGCCGCGUGUGUGAAGAAGGUCUUCGGAUUGUAAAGCACUUUAAGUUGGGAGGAAGGGCAGUAAGUUAAUACCUUGCUGUUUUGACGUUACCAACAGAAUAAGCACCGGCUAACUUCGUG